rnacentral:ncRNA from 1 species
ACAAAUGCGAUGAUUAGGAAAGUAACUGCCGGUAAACUUUAAGUGAGCCCCGUUAAGUGAAAAGGGGUAAGCAAGCCAGCGGUGAAAAUCACCUAUGAGCAGUGAAUACGAUGAUUGAGUGUUCACGGUGUGUCCGCCUUACUGGACUAGCGUAUCGUCCCGGGACCGUACGCGAAAAGGCGGUUUCUGUGAGGAAACCGCAAAUUAAGGUGGUACAGCGCACAAGCGCCCUUGAU